AGAGUUUGAUUAUGGCGUCAGGACGAACGGCUGGCGGCGUGCUUAACACAUGCAAGUUGAACGGUAUGACAUGGAAGCUUGCUGAAGUGUCAUAUAGUAGCGGACGGGUGAGUAAUGCAUGAGAAGCUGCCAUUGGGAGGGGGACAACAGUUGGAAACGGCUGCUAAUACCCCGUAUGCCGGAGGGUGAAAGGGAGUAAUCCGCCCGAUGAGGUGCUCAUGUCCUAUCAGCUGGUUGGUGGGGUAACGGCCUACCAAGGCGACGACGGGUAGCCGGCCUGAGAGGGUGAACGGCCACACUGGAACUGAGAUACGGUCCAGACUCCUACGGGAGGCAGCAGUGGGGAAUAUUUGGGCAAUGGGGGCAACCCUGACCCAGCGACGCCGCGUGGGGGAAGACGGCCUUCGGGUUGUAAACCUCUUUUGUACGGGAAGAAGGAAGUGACGGUACUGUACGAAUAAGUCCCGGCUAACUACGUGCCAGCCGCCGC
rnacentral:rRNA from 1 species